GUGCUUUUUUCAGCAGCACGUAUACUAACAUUGGAACGAUACAGAGAAGAUUAGCAUGGCCCCUGCUCUAGGAUGACACGCAAAUUCACGAAGGGUUCCAUAUUUUU
rnacentral:snRNA from 1 species